AGGUCUGUGUACGGUCCCUUCCCCAUCAACAUCGUUAUUCAGGAGAAUGGUUCUCUUGUUGAAAUUAGAAAUUUCUUGGGUGAAAAAUACAUCCACAGAGUUCAGAUGAGGUCAGGCGUUGCUUGUUCAGUAUCUCAAGCCCAGAAAGAUGAGUUGAUUCUUGAAGGAGAUGACACUGAACUUGUAUCAAAUUCAACUGCUUUGAUUCAACAAGCCACAACAGUUAAAAACAAGGAUAUCAGAAAUUUUUUGGAUAGUAUCUAUGAUUCCGAAAAAGGGCCAGUUCAGUAGGCUGAUGAAUAAGAUCUAAGUUGUCCAGCCAUAGAAACACCAAGAUGCCGAAUGAUUUGUCACACUUGUCAAACACAAAGAU